rnacentral:rRNA from 1 species
UACGGGGGGGGGUAAGCGUUGUUCGGAAUUACUGGGCGUAAAGGGCGCGUAGGCGGUCCUACAAGUCCCGCGUGAAAGCCCCCGGCUCAACUGGGGAAUGGCGCGGGAAACUGUUGGGCUUGAGUUCGGGAGAGGGAAGCGGAAUUCCUGGUGUAGCGGUGAAAUGCGCAGAUAUCAGGAGGAACACCGAUGGCGAAGGCAGGUCUCUGGGCAUUAACUGACGCUGAGGAGCGAAAGCAUGGGGAGCGAACAG